rnacentral:rRNA from 1 species
AAUGAACGUUGGCGGCAUGGAUUAGGCAUGCAAGUCGAGCGAGAAGGGUUUUGAAGCUUGCUUUAGAACCCGGAAAGCGGCGAAAGGGAGAGUAACGAGUAGUUAUCUACCCCAAGGCCCGGAAUAGCUGCGGGAAACUGCAGGUAAUGCCGGAUAAUAUCCCCGGAUCAAAGGUGUGAUUCCGCCUUGGGAGGAGACUGCUUUGUACUAGCUUGUUGGUAGGGUAAUGGCCUACCAAGGCUACGAUGCAUAGCGGGCGUGAGAGCGUGGCCCGUCUCACUGGGACUGAAACACUGCCCAGACACCUACGGGUGGCUGCAGUCGAGAAUCUUCGGCAAUGGGCGAAAGCCUGACCGAGCGAUGCCGCGUGCGGGAUGAAGGCCCUCGGGUUGUAAACCGCUGUCGUAGAGGAGAAAGGUCUCGUGAGGAGCGAGAUUUGAUCUAUUCUAGGAGGAAGUCGGGGCUAAGUUCGUGCCAGCAGCCGCAGUAAAAC